rnacentral:rRNA from 1 species
UGAGGAAUAUUGGUCAAUGGGCGGAAGCCUGAACCAGCCAAGUCGCGUGAGGGAAGACGGUCCUAUGGAUUGUAAACCUCUUUUGUCGGGGAGCAAGGAUCCGCACGAGUGCGGAGGCGAGAGUACCCGAAGAAAAAGCAUCGGCUAACUCCGUGCCAGCAGCCGCGGUAAUACGGAGGAUGCGAGCGUUAUCCGGAUUUAUUGGGUUUAAAGGGUGCGCAGGCGGAGGAUCAAGUCAGCGGUAAAAUAGCGGGGCUCAACCCCGUCGAGCCGUUGAAACUGGUUUUCCUAGAGUGAGCGAGAAGUAUGCGGAAUGCGUGGUGUAGCGGUGAAAUGCAUAGAUAUCACGCAGAACUCCGAUUGCGAAGGCAGCAUACCGGCGCUCAACUGACGCUCAGGCACGAAAGCGUGGGUAUCGAACAGGAUUAGAUACC